CGGGGGGCCUCCGGCUGGGUGGCUAGGGCCCACCUGUAACCACAAGUGCCCUCUACGGUGGAGCCGCAGUUCACGGGAGAUGUAACAGCAUAAGUUGGCCCAAGUUCCGAACAAUGAUACCUCGUCCCACAGGACUGGCUACCUAGCGAACCUGGUCAGGCCCGGAAGGGAGCAGCCAUAAGCUAGGUAGUUGGUGCUUGUGGGAGAAUCGGGGUGGAGAAAGGACUUGGAUAAACCAACUUAUGUUGUUACAUCAACUGUGAACGUGCCCCCCG
rnacentral:SRP_RNA from 1 species